ensembl:snoRNA small nucleolar RNA, H/ACA box 41
GUCCACAGCUACUGGUCUACAGCUGUUCCUAUGGUUGCAGCUGUAGCAUUCCUCUGUGGGAAAGGAACUGUGCACCAUUAAUGCCUCUUUCUUAGCCAAACAGAAAGAGGAAUGUGCGUGACACACACAA